GAACCAUUACACACAAGUUUAAAAGUAGCUACAAGAAAUAAUCAUGAAAACUUCGUUUGUUUCUCUAUUGUCCCUUUGGAAACUAAUCUAAACAACGACACCAGUCACUCGACAGAACUUCCCCAUUAAUCAAUGAAUAUCUUAAGCACAUUCCUAUGUGCAUUGUUGUUUGUGUUUAUCGCUAGAAUUCAUGGGAUUGUUUUUCUGAAGUGAUAAACAACUUUUGUCGAUGUGAUGUCUAUAAAACUAAGUAAGAUUGAGCUACUGUAGUAAUUUAAAAGCAAUGAGUCGAAAACCAGUAGCAACGUUUCUGUCGCUACUCAUUUGUUUCGUGCACUACAGUCAGCAGAUCCCACGUGUAAUAGACACGUUCAAGACUCCUCAAGUACAAAAUGGUAUCCUUCAAAUUGAAAGAAACAAUUGGACAGAGAUCCAGUUUGGAAUAAUCUAUGUAGAGGGAGAAGAAGACACAACAUACAGAUACGCUAUACAUCUAUCACUUAAUGAGAGAGUGCAUUGAUCCACUUUACCCUAACCUAAAUCACCCCUACUUUAGGCUUCACUCUAGCAGCCAUUGUCCUCCAGAUGAACUAGUCAAGCAAAGACACUCCUCUUGCCAGCGUCUUAUCGUUUCAAUCCGCGGUGAUGAUGCUAUUAAUAACAGUGUGAUGGCUUUGAGUGAUAAAUGCCUUCAUCUUGCUGCUGAGAGUACCGGCUCGGUCCCGUUUCUUGGCGAUAAACUGACUAAUCCACAGUAUCAAAGCUUCAGGAUACAAGUUAUUGAGGAUGAUGUCCCUAACUCCUUCAACAUACAGAAACUGAUCUCAGACAUUGACGAAAAAACUACGGAAAUUUCUCAGCAUAGAGUCUACAUCCUAGCCACUAUGAUUUGCAGUGUUGGGUCAUUUGCUCUGCUGUUACUGUACACUAUUACAAUACCAGUGGUGAAGUGGAUCAUCGGGAGACUUACAGGUGGUGCCCAAAAGCAAAGUGCAAGGAACACUGAUAUGGACAGUGAAGGCACAGUGUUGACGAACAGUGUCUGUCUUAUGGAGCAAAUGAGCAAAGAUGACAAUCACACAUUUCUUACUGAGCCAAGACAUACGCUUUGUCGAAGAAGUUCCAUAUAAUUCCUCAUAAUUAUGUCUGCAUGGCUUAGGUGGACAGGUAUGGAUAUACAAUUAACGGUCAUUACUAUAGGAGGCUCUUGUACAUGGAGUACAUUAACAAAAUAGGUGUUGAACUGUGUAUUUACCUGUAUAUAUAUAUAUACAGCCACUGCAAUACUAAAAUUAUUAUUCCACUGAGUCAA